rnacentral:lncRNA from 1 species
CGUGGCCGGGCGUGGCCUCAGCGCUUUUCUUCGCUGCCCCGGGCCUAGGGCCCACGCUGUCGGCUGCCGCAGUCUGACCCAACUCUUAGUCGCUCGCCGCGAUGGAGCCUGCCGCCGAGAUCCUGGUGGACAGCCCGGACGUGAUCUUCGGCCCCGAAGCCAUCGAGGCGCGCUACGAGUACCGGACAACGCGCGUCAGCCGCGAGGGCGGCGUGCUGCGGGUGCGGCCCACGGCUACGCGUUUCACCUUCCGCACAGCCCGGCAGGUGCCCCGGCUUGGGGUCAUGUUAGUCGGCUGGGGCGGGAACAACGGCUCCACGCUCACUGCGGCUGUUCUGGCCAACCGGCUACGCCUGACCUGGCCCACGCGCACUGGUCGCAAGGUAGGGGGCGUGGCUGCCAGGAGGACACGGAGGGACGAGCAGAUCUGGGCGGGGGGCGCUUGGAGUGGGGCGCGUGACCUGAGGGGCUAGCGAGUCUCAGUGAGUGGGACACCUCCGCCCAUCAACACCCUCCUCUGCUUACCGCACCCCCUUCACACACAGGAGGCAAACUAUUAUGGCUCGUUGACCCAGGCGGGCACCGUGAACUUGGGUCUGGAUGGGGACGGCCGGGAGGUGUUUGUGCCCUUCAGUGCGCUGCUACCCAUGGUGGCACCCAACGACCUGGUGUUUGACGGUGGGCAAAGCCUCGGGAUGGGAUGGGGGUAAGUAUGGGUGGGCCCAGGGUCCAGGAUGGGUCUGGUGUUAAGGGUCCCCGCAACCCAGGCUGGGAUAUCUCGUCGCUGAACCUGGCGGAGGCGAUGCGGCGCGCGCAGGUCCUGGACUGCGGUCUGCAGGAGCAGCUGUGGCCCCACAUGGAGAGCCUGCGUCCACGGCCCUCAGUCUACAUUCCUGAGUUCAUCGCUGCCAACCAGACAGCACGUGCGGACAACCUCAUCCCUGGCACACGCGCCCAACAGUUGGAGCAGAUCCGAAAGGAUAUUAGAGACUUCCGAUCCAGUGCGGGAUUGGACAAGGUCAUCGUGCUGUGGACCGCCAAUACAGAGCGCUUCUGUGAAGUGGUCCCGGGUCGCAAUGACACAGCUGAAAACUUGCUGCGUACUAUCCAGCUUGGCCUGGAGGUUUCACCAUCCACACUUUUUGCUGUGGCCAGCAUCCUGGAGGGCUGCGCC